GCCGGAGUAGCACAACGGUGGUGCGCCGCUUUCGUAAAGCGGAGGUUGCGGGUUCAAAUCCCGCCUCUGGCUCCA
rnacentral:tRNA from 1 species